AACAGCUGGAAACGGCUGCUAAUACCGAAUACGUUCUUUUUGUCGCAUGACAGAGAGAAGAAAGGGAGGCUCUUCGGAGCUUUCGCUGAAGGAGGGGCUUGCGUCUGAUUAGCUAGUUGGAGGGGUAACGGGCCCACCAAGGCGACGAUCAGUAGCCGGUCUGAGAGGAUGAACGGCCACAUUGGGACUGAGACACGGCCCAGACUCCUACGGGAGGGCAGCAGUGGGGAAUAUUGGGCAAUGGGGGAAACCCUGACCCAGCAACGCCGCGUGAAGGAAGAAGGCCUUCGGGUUGUAAAGUUCUGUUAUACGGGACGAAUGGCGUAGCGGUCAAUACCCGUUACGAGUGACGGUACCGUAAGAGAAAGCCACGGCUAACUACGUG
rnacentral:rRNA from 1 species